AAUCUCAAUCCUGCCCUUCCUCCCCAUCUCAAUCCUGCUCUCAAUCCCUAAGUCAAGCUUCACUGGUCUGGCUUGCUAUUUCAGAGUAAUUUGAGUUGUCAUUGACGGGAUCUGUUUCACAUGAUUUAAUAUCCAUAUAGUUCUCGGCAGAUAUCAUAUCAUUCUUGGAAACAACAUUUUCAAUAUGCUUCUCAUCAUUGUUUUCAUGAACCUGGUUUGAAGCCUUAGCAUCUUCACUAACAUGAAGCACCCAGUUGUCAUGAAGAUACUUCACACCUUCUAGAGGGAUGGAUCAUUAAGCACUUCACUUUUUGAAAUUAGAAUUUCUUUGCGUGUGGUGUUCUUAUGAUCUCCUCUUUUAACAUAUUUUACUAAUGCUGUUUUUAAUGCAGGUUGUUUUGGCUGCUAAUGACUCAUCUUCUAUCAAUUAUAUCAAAGAAGCACGUUUGAGGUGUUCAGAUCCCUAUGAAGCACCCAGUUGUCAU